rnacentral:rRNA from 1 species
GGCCAGCAGCCGCGGUAAUACGGAGGGUGCAAGCAUUAAUCGGAUUUAUUGGGCAUAAAGGGCGCGUAGGCGGGAAUAUAAGUCAGACGUGAAAUGCCAGGGCUUACCCUUGGCACGGCGUUUGAAACUAUUUUUCUAGAGGAUUGACGGAGAAAGCGGAAUUCUAUGUGUAGCGGUGAAAUGCGUAGAUAUAUGGAAGAACACCUGUGGCGAAGGCGGCUUUCUAGUUUAUUCCUGACGCUAAGGCGCGAAAGCAAGGGGAGCAAACAGGAUUAGAUACCCUGGUAGUCCUUGCCUUAAACGAUGUAUACUUGAUGUAGUCGGACUCAAUCCCGGCUGUGUCGUAGCUAAUGUGUUAAGUAUACCGCCUGAGGAGUACACUCGCAAGGGUGAAACUCAAAAGAAUUGACGGGGGCCCGCACAAGG